AGAGUUUGAUCAUGGCUCAGAUUGAACGCUGGCGGCAUGCCUAAUACAUGCAAGUCGAACGGUAACAGGCUUUUCGGAGUGCUGACGAGUGGCGGACGGGUGAGUAACGCGUGGGAAUCUGCCCUGUAGCGGGGGACAACCUUAGGAAACUGAGGCUAAUACCGCAUACCUUCUACGGAAGAAAGUAGGCCACUGAAUAUGCUUACCCUACAGGAUGAGCCCCCGUUGGAUUAGCUAGUUGGUAAGGUAAUGGCUUACCAAGGCUACGAUCCAUAACUGGUCUGAGAGGACGACCAGUCACACCGGGACUGAGACACGGCCCGGACUUCUACGGGAGGCAGCAGUAGGGAAUAUUGGGCAAUGGGCGCAAGCCUGACCCAGCAAUGCCGCGUGUGUGAAGAAGGCC
rnacentral:rRNA from 1 species